rfam:Bacillus thuringiensis serovar israelensis ATCC 35646 sq1918, whole genome shotgun sequence.
CAGCGAGAAAGGCAAACUGAUGGAAACAUGAGGACGCAAAACUACAGGAGCUAAGGUCGAAAGGCUAUGCUAGCCAGUUACCGGA